UGGGAGCCGUAGAACCUUGAGCGCCAGCUUGAGGGGAGGCAUCCUUGGGAUACCACCCUGAUCGUAUCUAGGUUCUAACUUGGUACCGUGAUCCGGUACGAGGACAGUGUCAGGUGGGCAGUUUGACUGGGGCGGUCGCCUCCUAAAGAGUAACGGAGGCGCCCCAAGGUUCCCUCAGAAUGGUUGGAAAUCAUUCGAAGAGUGCAAAGGCAGAAGGGAGCUUGACUGCGAGACCUACAAGUCGAGCAGGGACGAAAGUCGGGCUUAGUGAUCCGGUGGUACCGCAUGGAAGGGCCAUCGCUCAACGGAUAAAAGCUACCCUGGGGAUAACAGGCUUAUCUCCCCCAAGAGUCCACAUCGACGGGGAGGUUUGGCACCUCGAUGUCGGCUCAUCGCAUCCUGGGGCUGAAGUAGGUCCCAAGGGUUGGGCUGUUCGCCCAUUAAAGCGGUACGCGAGCUGGGUUCAGAACGUCGUGAGACAGUUCGGUCCCUAUCUGUCGUGGGCGUAGGAAAUUUGAGAGGAGCUGUCCUUAGUACGAGAGGACCGGGAUGGACGUACCGCUGGUGUACCAGUUGUUCCGCCAGGAGCACCGCUGGGUAGCUAUGUACGGAAGGGAUAAGCGCUGAAAGCAUCUAAGCGUGAAGCCCCCCUCAAGAUGAGAUUUCCCAGUAUGUAAGACCCCUUGAAGACGACGAGGUAGAUAGGUUGGGGGUGGAAGUGCAGUAAUGCAUGGAGCUGACCAAUACUAAUCGGU
rnacentral:rRNA from 1 species